rnacentral:rRNA from 1 species
GACGAACCGUGCGAACGUUUAUUCGGAAUCACUGGGCGUAAAGGGUGCGUAGGCGGGUCUUUUAAGUCAGGGGUGAAAUCCUGGAGCUCAACUCCAGAACUGCCUUUGAUACUGAGGAUCUUGAGUUCGGGAGAGGUGAGUGGAACUGCGAGUGUAGAGGUGAAAUUCGUAGAUAUUCGCAAGAACACCAGUGGCGAAGGCGGCUCACUGGCCCGAUACUGACGCUGAGGCACGAAAGCGUGGGGAGCAAACAGG